AUGAUGGAGAUGGUGAUGAAGGGGCUGGCGGCCAGGUCCUUCUGGAGACCUCACAGUGAUUCCAAACAGAGAUUAAGGAGCAGAUGGCUGGGAGCAUUCAGACUAAUAAAAAAAAAAUUAAAACUCUGGGUAGAGGGACACUCUGGGGGACUCCAACUCAGGCAGUGGUGUGCAGAUUCACACAUGUCCAUGCAUGGGCCAGGCCUGUGUGAGAAACAUGUGUGUGUCUGUACAUAUUACAUCCUCCACAAGGACGUAGCUGGGAGCCCCCGUCCUACCCCUACGCCUGUGCUACUCAGUGGGCCUCUUCCAGACCUUUCUUUUUCCAUUGGGAAGAACUGGGCCUACUGAAAGAAGUGAUGAAAGGGAAAUGACCCACAGUAAUCCUCUGAAGAUGCCCUUUCCUCUUGGUCCUUGCUCCAGUGUGCAGGAGGCAGGCACCCACCUCAGUCCUGGGGCAGUGGAGGCCAGGAACAGGUGGCAGGUGUGGUGGGAGGCGGUGGGCCUCACUGGGUAGCUGGCUGGGAGUAGCUGCAGGACACCUGCACCAUCUCAGCUUCUGUCAGGUCACUGCUGAACCCAGCUGGGCUGUGCAGGAACUGCCUCAGCAAGGGGGAGGCGUGGAGCCCGAGGUGGGAGCCUGGACUCCUGGGUGGCUCUGCCUGCUCGGUGACUGUGGUGGAAGACAUGAGGACUGUGUUCCCAAACUGGUCCACCUCCUCAUACUGCUCAGUCACGGUUCUCAUGGCUCCAUAGUGCUGUGAGCUCCCUGGCCCAGUCUGUAGCUCCAGAACACUCUUUUGCCGCCCUCUGGGCAGGGGACUUGCUGAGGGAGGGGCAGGCUCAGGUUGCACAGAGCACUGGGUGAUGUCCUUCUUCCCAGCCUUGUCUUGGACACCUUUCUGGUGGAGCAGGGCCUGGCCUAUGUCCUGAGCCGCUUGUGUGCUUUUCACUGAGAUAUCAGGGUUACCCUUAAAGCUAGAAGUCUCUAGAGGCUUCCUUGUGGCUGAC
rnacentral:lncRNA from 1 species